rnacentral:rRNA from 1 species
GCUAACUAUCAAGCCUAUAAACUACUUAGUUGCUUCCCCCAACCACCAUAAAAUAAAACAUUUUACUGUUUAAGUAGAGGCGAUUAAAAAAACUCUAAGAGCUUCAACCCUAGUACCGCAAGGGAAAGAUGAAAUAUUAUGAAAUAAAAUAAAGCACAAUAUAGUAGAGAUUAAUACUCGUACCUUUUGCAUCAUGGUCUAGCAAGUCAUUAUCAAGCAAAGAGCCCCUCAAGUUUGAUUUCCCGAAACUAGGCGAGCUACUUCAAAACAGCAUCUAGAGCCAACCCGUCUCUGUGGCAAAAGAGUGGGAAGAUUUUCAAGUAGUAGUGAUAAGCCUACCGAGCCUAGAGAUAGCUGGUUAUUCAAGAAAAGAAUUUUAGUUCUACCUUAAGCUUAAAUAUGAACACAAACAAAAUAUUGUACUUAAGAGCUAUUCAAAUAAGGCACAGCUUAUUUGAAAAAGGUUACAACCUAGACUUUAGGGUAAAAUAUAAUAAACUUAAUAAAGUGGGCCUAAAAGCAGCCACCUUUCAAAAAGCGUUAAAGCUUCACUUCUGAUUUAUAAAAUCCCACCCUAUCACCAUCAACCCAUCACCAGUAUUGAAUAACUUCAUAAAUUAUGAAAAUUACCAUGCUAGAACUAGUAACAAGAAAAUGCUAUUUCUCCAAAGUGUAAACAUAAACCAAAAUGGACAACCCAUUGGUACCUAACGACUCUGAACCAACUAUAGCAAACACCUAGAAAACCCUAUAUUUAAUAUCGUUAACCUUACACAAGAACUCUUCUGGAAAGAUUAAAAGGGUAAGAAGGAACUCGGCAAACUCUAACCCCGCCUGUUUACCAAAAACAUCGCCUCUUGCUAAGACAUAAGAGGUCUAGCCUGCCCAGUGUUUUAAUCAACGGCCGCGUGAUUUAAGCGCGCGAAGGUAGCAUAAUCAUUUGUCCUUUAAAUGGGGACUCGUAUCAAUGGCAUCACGAGGGUUAUACUGUCUCCUUUCCCCAAUCAGUGAAACUAAUCCCCCUGUGAAAAAGCAGGAAUGAAACUAUAAGACGAGAAGACCCCAUGGAGCUUAAAACAUGACAACAACCCUAAUAAUAUCACCAAUAUAAUUUUAAGCCCUGUAUGUUAGUUUUAGGUUGGGGUGACCGCGGAAUAAAGCAAAACUUCCACAACGUAAAGGGUUUACAUCCUUACUUAAGAGAUACCUCUCUAAAAAUUAUUAACAUAACGUCCAAUGACCCGACCAUCGAUCAACGGACCAAGUUACCCUGGGGAUAACAGCGCAAUCCAUUUUAAGAGCUCCUAUCGACAAAUGGGCUUACGACCUCGAUGUUGGAUCAGGAUAUCCAAGUGGUGCAGCCGCUACUAAAGGUUUGUUUGUUCAACAAUUAAAAUC